GCCCCCAUCGUCUAGCGGUUGAGGACAUCUCUCUUUCAAGGAGGCAGCGGGGAUUCGACUUCCCCUGGGGGUA
rnacentral:tRNA from 11 species